CAAAGCUGAGUUCUGUCUUUUCUUGCAUUGACAUUGCAAUAAAUCAAUCAAUUUCCUUCUUUCUGAUUAAACCCUAAUUGUCAGAUUUAUUUCAGAAUUGCGUUAAAAGGAACCUGAACAUUAAUAUUAUUAUUAUUACUAUUAUCAUUACUAGAGCAUGAUGAAGAUCCUCAAAAUUUGGUAAAUUAAGGUUAGUCCUGGAAAUGUAUCUUCCAACAGUUGACCUGCUAUGUUCAGGAAAUUAAAUGUUUUUGCCUGUAGAAGUAUUCACCUUUUGUGAUCUUCAACGCUGAAUUGUAGUCUUUGAGAGGAGAUAUGAAUAAUUAAAGCCCAGGUUGCCUAAUUUCUGUUGAAAUGUGCAGUAGGAACUAUAGGCCUUACAAUGACGUUCACAGUUUAAUGCUGAUUCAAUAUUGUUCGCAAUGCAAUUAGUAUCAAAUGAUAGUCAAAAGGAAGAUAUUUCAGAACGUGAACCCAUUUUACGCCAAUCUAACAUUGUGCAACGAUCUGAAGAAUCAUCAUCUUCAUGUGAGAUUACAUCAAUUGGACAGGAUUGUGAUGGUGACGAUUUGGAAAGUGUUCAUGUUGAUGAAACUUGUCAUCUAGUGAAUCCAGACCAACCACAAUGCCGUAUUUGCCUUGAUAACGGAGGAGAAGACCUAAUUGCACCAUGCCAUUGCAAAGGCACUCAGAAAUAUGUUCAUAGAUCAUGUCUUGAUAACUGGAGGUCAACUAAGGAAGGAUUUGCUUUUGCUCACUGCACAGAGUGUAGGGCUUCCUUCAUAUUACGAGCCAAUGUUCCACCAGAUCGCUGGUGGUUGAGAUUGAAAUUUCAGUUUCUUGUUGCCAGGGACCACGUGUUCAUUUUUGUAGUUGUUCAGUUGAUUGUUGCAUUCUUGGGGAUGUUUGUCUACAAAUUUUAUGGAGAAGAGCUCAGAGAAAUGUUUGGCUAUGAAGAACAUCCUUAUGGCUUUUACACCGUGGCUGUUUUAGCUAUUGUUUUGGUGGGUUUGCUCUAUGGUUUCUUCAUUGCCAUAAUAUGCGGACAGAGGAUCAAUGAACGCCAUUACCAUGUUCUCGCCAAACAAGAACUAACAAAGGAAUAUGUGGUAGAAGACCGAGAAGCUAGUAAAAAUGUCCCUGAACUUGAUGCUACCCAUGUCACAGAGCUAAGAAUGUUGGGCCUUUAUUAGUUUGGAAGUCUCUUUAUUACUGUGCUCUCAAUAACAUCUACAAACAAUGGGCACCAUGUACAUAUAGUCGGAACAACUUGCAGUAAGCCCUUGACAGCUACCUCUACCACACUCCAAUUCCCAAUUAUUGAUGACCAUUAGCAACGCCAUUCAUUAGCUUUCAUGAUGUCUGACCUAGAAAGUAAUAAUAUAUCUCAUUUUCAAUUUUUUAAGCUACUCGAGCCCACCAACUUUCUAACAGAAAUCUUCAGUAGGUAAUGGCAUUUAGAGGGUAAGCCUCUGUAUUUCUUUAUAACUUCUCCAGCACUGCUCAUCUUUCCAGAAGGAAGUUAGAGAAUCUUCAGUAUGUUCUUGAAGAAACAAAGCAAGUGUAGAUUUUGAACUCUUUCUUGUUUCUAUAGUCUGUGGCUCUGUGCAUUUCAUGUUUUUAUUUUUGUCUCUAUUUAAGAACCCUGCCACCAGCCCAGCACUUACCUCAAGAGUCAGGUCACCAGAAUUUACGUAUAGGAGGGGGUAGAGUUGCUACCUAUCCCAGAUGUUUCAGUACAACCAGGGAUCAAGAAAUUGCCCAAAACGCCAAAUGAACAAAAAAACAACUGAUGCAUUAUCAUAGAGUGGAAAUACACAAGAAAAUGGCAUUGGUAUUCUGCCUUGCUUUCGGGUGGACGGGGUCAGUACUGGAUAGUCAUCAAUUCCACAUGAACAUGGAAUUAUGCAUCGCCGCAGCCAGAAACCCGGAUGCUUCUAAAUAAUUUUCUCAAUUCCCGCUUUCGUGUGAUGGAGUCAUUUUGGGCAUGAAAUUUCAGCAUUGAGCAAAUCAUGGCUAGAAAGGUGGUCCCGGUCCUUGCGCUCACUGUAUAUGCAUUAUCAGCAUCUUCUUAUUUCAAACUGCAGAGCCAGAAGUGUGAUUUAUCUUACAGUUGCUACACCGGUAUUCCAGUUGUUGUGCAUUAACAAAAAAAGAACCAGCUCCAUAGAGAAAUACUUGCUGUUAACAUUUGUUGAUUCUUAUGAGAAAAUAUCCAUACCUUUUUCCU